rnacentral:rRNA from 1 species
UGGGGAAUAUUGGACAAUGGGCGAAAGCCUGAUCCAGCCAUGCCGCGUGUGUGAAGAAGGUCUUCGGAUUGUAAAGCACUUUAAGUUGGGAGGAAGGGCAGUAAGCGAAUACCUUGCUGUUUUGACGUUACCGACAGAAUAAGCACCGGCUAACUCUGUGCCAGCAGCCGCGGUAAUACAGAGGGUGCAAGCGUUAAUCGGAAUUACUGGGCGUAAAGCGCGCGUAGGUGGUUCGUUAAGUUGAAUGUGAAAGCCCCGGGCUCAACCUGGGAACUGCAUCCAAAACUGGCGAGCUAGAGUAGGGCAGAGGGUGGUGGAAUUUCCUGUGUAGCGGUGAAAUGCGUAGAUAUAGGAAGGAACACAAGUGGCGAAGGCGACCACCUGGGUUCAUACUGACACUGAGGUGCGAAAGCGUGGGGAGCAAACAGG